UGGUGCCAAUGUCGUCUGAAUAAAGUUACUAGUUUCUCCACACCACAGAACAGUGGCGGGUUGUUACAUAAAUUAUGUAAAGUUACGGGACCGGGUCCCGGGAGUCGGGCAGUCGGCUUGGAUGAAAAAAUCUUAGAUCAUUGUUAAUAUGUAUGAUCUAAGGAAAAAAUAACUGGAUUGCUUGCCAAAUUUCAUUUAUGAUGAAGCCAACAUCAACAGCGCCAUCACAAGGUGGUGUGCGUUUUGUGAAACGAAGUUUUAAUUUUAGUAAAUUUUACAAGAUUUGAUUGUACGUGUUUUAUAGAUAGUGGUUUUAUGUAAUUUUAUGUUAGUGAGUUCUUUAGUUGUGUUACGUUUAUAUAUUUAAUCAAAAAUGGAACGCAGAAGUUGUUUCGUAAAGAACUGUGAUGCAGCUUAUAAUAUCAAAAACAAGGACGUUAAAACGGAAACGUUUUUCGCAUUUCCUUCAGAUGCUGUACCUGUAAUACAAAACAAAAUUUCUCUAUCGAAAAGUAAUGGAAAUUAAGUACUGGGUUGUUUGAUGGUGGCCGACAUGCCUCCAGCCAAAUAUGCCAUGGUGUGCCUGUUGACGUGCAUAAAUUAUCAUUGGAAAAUUCCUGUGGCAUACUUUUUAAUUACUGGAUUGAUUAGGAGUGAAAGAGCCAUUAUAAACAGCAAGUUCUUGAAUUUUGAAAACCAUCGAACAUUAAAAUUGUUUGACAUUUGAUGGGCAUCCUUCCGAACAUCACUAUGUGUCAGGAAUUGGGUGUCAAUAUUUGGAGUGAAGACACAAAACUUUUGAUACACAAUGAAAUAAAAUCGCCAGCUGCGGCAAAUUGUAUAGCUGUAGAUGAUACUAAUAUUUAAGAAAAAAAAUUGCACAUCUACUUAUGAUACACAAACUUCAAAUAUAACUGAUAUCGAAGUGGAAGUUGACCACAUUCUCAUAGAAUCAAAUAACAUAACAAUUUCUGAAAUUGUUUGUUACAUUGCUGUUUCACUGAAAUUCAUUUCAUUGGCCAGAAACUUUUUGUAAAGUGCCGACAUUUGUAAAAUAAAAACUUAUUCCACUA